GGGGUGCAGCAGGCGCGAAAACUUCGCAAUGGGGGAAACCCCGACGAGGGAAUUCCAAGUGCUAGCACUUUGUGUUAGCUGUUCUUCUGUCUAAAAAACAGGAGAAGUAAGGGGCGGGUAAGACGGGUGCCAGCCGCCGCGGUAAUACCCGCGCCCCGAGUGGUGGUCGAUAUUAUUGAGCCUAAAACGUCCGUAGCCGGUCUUCUAAAUCCUUGGGUAAAUCGGGCAGCUUAACUGUCCGAAUUCCGGGGAGACUGGGAGACUUGGGACCGGGAGAGGUCAGAGGUACUUCUGGGGUAGGGGUAAAAUCCUGUAAUCCUGGAAGGACCACCGGUGGCGAAGGCGUCUGACUAGAACGGAUCCGACGGUGAGGGACGAAGCCCUGGGGCGCAAACGGGAUUAGAUACCCCGGUAGUCCAGGGUGUAAACGCUGCGGGCUUGGUGUUGGGGGUCCUUAGUGGGCGCCCAGUGCCGGAGAGAAGUUGUUAAGCCUGCUGCUUGGGGAGUAUGUCCGCAAGGAUGAAACUUAAAGGAAUUGGCGGGGGAGCAC
rnacentral:rRNA from 1 species